rnacentral:rRNA from 1 species
GAUGAACGCUAGCGGCAGGCCUAACACAUGCAAGUCGAGGGGCAGCGCAAAGAUAGUUUACUAUUUUGGCGGCGACCGGCGCACGGGUGAGUAACGCGUAUGCAACCUACCUUAUACAGGAGUAUAGCCCGAAGAAAUUCGGAUUAAUCCUCCAUAGUAUUCUUUAAUGGCAUCAUUUGAAGAAUUAAAGCUUCGGCGGUAUAAGAUGGGCAUGCGUCCUAUUAGCUAGAUGGUAAGGUAACGGCUUACCAUGGCUACGAUAGGUAGGGGGCCUGAGAGGGUGAUCCCCCACACUGGUACUGAGACACGGACCAGACUCCUACGGGAGGCAGCAGUGAGGAAUAUUGGGCAAUGGGCGCAAGCCUGACCCAGCCAUGCCGCGUGCAGGAAGAAUGCCCUAUGGGUUGUAAACUGCUUUUAUUUAGGAAUAAACCCCUUUACGUGUAGAGGGCUGAAUGUACUAAACGAAUAAGCACCGGCUAACUCCGUG